rnacentral:rRNA from 1 species
AUGGAAAGAAGUGGCCUGAUGCUCCUGCUGAUGAAGCUUCGUCCUACUACAAGGUUCCCUUUCUCAAGAACUGUCUACAUUGAACAAACUGAUUUUCGCCGUAAGGACUCGAAAGAUUACUAUGGGCUAGCUCCUGGUAAAUCUGCCCUGCUAAGGUAUGCAUUCCCUAUAAAAUGCAGAGAGGUUAUUUAUGGUGGUACUCCAGAUGAUAUUGUUGAAAUUCGAGCUGAGUAUGACCCCUCAAGGACUUCUAAACCUAAGAAUCCUGCCGAAUUGGAAGAUUGGCUGGGUGACCUUAACCCGCACUCAAAAGAGGUUGUAAAGGGCGCUUAUGCUGUACCGUCGCUUGCAACCGCCGUUGUGGGUGAUAAGUUUCAGUUUGAGCGGCCUUGA